rnacentral:rRNA from 1 species
CCUGCCGAAUGAAUUAGCCCUGAAAAUGGAUGACGCUCAAGCGGGCAGCCGACACCACGCCGUUUGGGCAAAUACAUGGGACAAUGAAGUCGGCCUAAAUGAGUAGGAGGGCGUGGCGGUCUUUAGUUAAGCAGGUGAGAGCGCAAGCUCCACUGAAACGGCCGCUAGUGCAGAUCUUGGUGGUAGUAGCAAAUAUUCAAGCGGGAUCCUUGAAGGGCGAAGCGGGGAAGGGUUCCACGCAAACAUUGAUUGGGCGUGGGUGAGUCGUGCCUAAGCCAGCUGGUAAUUGUUGAUUCAAAACUGGCGAAAGGGAAGCGGGUUAAAAUUCUCGCACACGGAUGUGGAGGCGGUGACGCAAACCGAGUCGAAGACGUCGGUGAUAGCGCUGGGCAGAGUUUUCUUUUCUGUUUGACCUGCGAGACGCAUAGUGUGGAAUCCGAUUAUCGGGAGAAACACAUGCCGAGGGGCAGAGCGCCGGGAUUUUCCGGCGUCCAGCACGCUAUUGACGACCCUUGAAAAUUCGAUGUCGACAAUGUGCUUUUUCUUCAGUGGUUUCGGCUUCUGAGGAGGGGUGCGCUAAUUUCACGCCGUGACGUACCGAUAACCGCAUCAGGUCCCCAAGGUGAACAGCCUCUGCUCCAUAUGAACAAU